rnacentral:tRNA from 1 species
GCCCGGUUAGCUCAAUCGGUAGAGCGUGAGACUCUUAAUCUCAAGGCUGCGGGUUCGACCCCGCAUUGGGCU